rnacentral:rRNA from 2 species
UAGGGAAUCUUCGGCAAUGGACGAAAGUCUGACCGAGCAACGCCGCGUGAGUGAAGAAGGUUUUCGGAUCGUAAAACUCUGUUGUUAGAGAAGAACAAGGACGUUAGUAACUGAACGUCCCCUGACGGAAUCUAACCAGAAAGCCACGGCUAACUACGUGCCAGCAGCCGCGGUAAUACGUAGGUGGCAAGCGUUGUCCGGAUUUAUUGGGCGUAAAGCGAGCGCAGGCGGUUUCUUAAGUCUGAUGUGAAAGCCCCCGGCUCAACCGGGGAGGGUCAUUGGAAACUGGGAGACUUGAGUGCAGAAGAGGAGAGUGGAAUUCCAUGUGUAGCGGUGAAAUGCGUAGAUAUAUGGAGGAACACCAGUGGCGAAGGCGGCUCUCUGGUCUGUAACUGACGCUGAGGCUCGAAAGCGUGGGGAGCAAACAGG